UACGGGGGGGAGCAAGCGUUGUUCGGAUUUACUGGGCGUAAAGGGCGGGUAGGCGGCCACCGCAAGUCAGUUGUGAAAUCUCUGGGCUUAACCCAGAAAGGUCAACUGAUACUGCGGGGCUAGAGUGCAGAAGGGGCAACUGGAAUUCUCGGUGUAGCGGUGAAAUGCGUAGAUAUCGAGAGGAACACCUGCGGCGAAGGCGGGUUGCUGGGCUGACACUGACGCUGAGGAACGAAAGCGUGGGUAGCGAACAGG
rnacentral:rRNA from 1 species